GAUGAACGCUGGCGGCGUGCCUAAUACAUGCAAGUCGAGCGAACAGACGAGGAGCUUGCUCCUCUGACGUUAGCGGCGGACGGGUGAGUAACACGUGGAUAACCUACCUAUAAGACUGGGAUAACUUCGGGAAACCGGAGCUAAUACCGGAUAAUAUAUUGAACCGCAUGGUUCAAUAGUGAAAGACGGUUUUGCUGUCACUUAUAGAUGGAUCCGCGCCGCAUUAGCUAGUUGGUAAGGUAACGGCUUACCAAGGCAACGAUGCGUAGCCGACCUGAGAGGGAGAUCGGCCACACUGGAACUGAGACACGGUCCAGACUCCUACGGGAGGCAGCAGUAGGGAAUCUUCCGCAAAGGGCGAAAGCUUGACGGAGCAACGCCGCGUGAGUGAUGAAGGUCUUCGGAUCGUAAAACUCUGUUAUUAGGGAAGAACAAAUGUGUAAGUAACUAUGCACGUCUUGACGGUACCUAAUCAGAAAGCCACGGCUAACUACGUG
rnacentral:rRNA from 1 species